GCAUAGCAAUCUUAGUAAAUAGAUUGGCAAUCUAUUCAUAUGACACUUAACUUCCAGUACGCUAAAUAUCAAAACCAGAAAGUUUCAACCGUCGACCAGUAAAAGACCAAUCAAACAAAGUUACCAAUCAAAACAACAACAAUUUGCUUACCAAAGACAAAUCACUGUCAUUUGAAGCAAGGUCCAUAAAAACCAUGUUUUAUGCUACAAACCCUUUAUCUGACAUCAUUGAGAAAUGGCA